rnacentral:rRNA from 1 species
UGUCAAGUCGGAUGUGAAAUCCCCGGGCUCAACCUGGGAACUGCAUUCGAAACUGGCAGGCUAGAGUCUUGUAGAGGGGGGUAGAAUUCCAGGUGUAGCGGUGAAAUGCGUAGAGAUCUGGAGGAAUACCGGUGGCGAAGGCGGCCCCCUGGACAAAGACUGACGCUCAGGUGCGAAAGCGUGGGGAGCAAACAGGAUUAGAUACCCUGGUAGUCCACGCCGUAAACGAUGUCGAUUUGGAGGUUGUGCCCUUGAGGCGUGGCUUCCGGAGCUAACGCGUUAA